GAUGAACGCUGGCGGCGUACCUAAUACAUGCAAGUCGAGCGAACGGACGAGAAGCUUGCUUCUCUGAUGUUAUCGGCGGACGGGUGAGUAACACGUGGAUAACCUACCUAUAAGACUGGGAUAACUUCGGGAAACCGGAGCUAAUACCGGAUAAUAUUUUGAACCGCAUGGUUCAAAAGUGAAAGACGGUCUUGCUGUCACUUAUAGAUGGAUCCGCGCUGCAUUAGCUAGUUGGUAAGGUAACGGCUUACCAAGGCAACGAUGCAUAGCCGACCUGAGAGGGUGAUCGGCCACACUGGAACUGAGACACGGUCCAGACUCCUACGGGAGGCAGCAGUAGGGAAUCUUCCGCAAUGGGCGAAAGCCUGACGGAGCAACGCCGCGUGAGUGAUGAAGGUCUUCGGAUCGUAAAACUCUGUUAUUAGGGAAGAACAUAUGUGUAAGUAACUGUGCACAUCUUGACGGUACCUAAUCAGAAAGCCACGGCUAACUACGUG
rnacentral:rRNA from 1 species